AUGGCAGCCGCGCCCACGUCGCACCACCUCGCCGCCGGGGCGCCCUGGAGCUCCCUCCCCCGCGGCGGGUUCAGGGCGCUCACGGACUCCGCCCCCGCCUCUGUCCGCUUCUCCGUCGGUCGCCGCCGCGCCGCCCGCCUAGAGGUGAAGGCGGCUGGAAAUAUCUUCGGUGACUACUUCCAGGUUGCAACUUAUGGAGAGUCUCACGGAGGUGGUGUUGGCUGCGUUAUCAGUGGUUGUCCACCCAGAAUCCCACUCACCGAGGAAGACAUGCAAGGAGACCUUGAUCGAAGGCGGCCAGGUCAGAGCAGAAUAACAACCCCAAGGAAGGAGACCGAUACUUGUAAAAUUCUUUCAGGGACAUAUGAAGGAAUGACCACUGGGACGCCGAUUCAUGUUUUUGUCCCAAACACGGAUCAAAGAGGGGGUGAUUACACUGAAAUGGCUAAGGCGUACAGACCUUCCCAUGCGGAUUUGACUUAUGACCUCAAGUACGGUGUUAGAUCUGUUCAGGGAGGUGGAAGGUCAUCGGCAAGAGAAACCAUUGGAAGGGUAGCUGCAGGAGCUGUUGCAAAGAAAAUUCUUAAGCUGAAAUGUGGAGUAGAGAUUCUAGCAUUUGUUUCCAAAGUGCAUCAAGUGGUACUUCCUGAAGACGCAGUUGAUUAUGAAACUCUUACCCUGGAUCAGAUAGAGAGCAACAUUUGUAGAUGUCCUGAUCCAGAAUAUGCACAGAAGAUGAUUGAUGCAAUUGAUAAAGUACGAGUUAAUGGGAAUUCGAUUGGUGGGGUGGUCACAUGCAUUGCCAGAAAUGUUCCUCGUGGGCUUGGCUCUCCUGUAUUUGACAAACUUGAAGCUCUACUGGCAAAGGCUAUGCUUUCUCUUCCUGCAAGCAAGGGGUUUGAGAUCGGUAGUGGAUUUGCAGGUACUGACCUAACUGGAAGUGAGCAUAACGAUGAGUUCUAUAUGGACGAGGCUGGAAAUGUAAGAACACGAACCAAUCGCUCGGGCGGUGUACAGGGAGGGAUAUCAAAUGGUGAAACUAUAUACUUCAAAGUAGCUUUCAAGCCAACAGCAACUAUUGGGAAGAAGCAAAAUACUGUAACAAGGGAUCAUGAGGAUAUCGAACUUCUGACAAGGGGUCGCCAUGACCCAUGUGUUGUCCCUCGGGCUGUUCCAAUGGUGGAGACGAUGGCUGCAUUGGUCCUCAUGGACCAGCUGAUGGCACAUGUUGCUCAGUGCGAGAUGUUCCCGCUGAACCUCGCCCUACAAGAACCAAUCGGCUCCGCAAACAGUACACCUGCGUUGGCACCAGAUCUAGCAUGA
rnacentral:rRNA from 1 species